UGCUAUGAAUCGUAAUGGUGAUAUCAGAGUGUGCAUAUCAGAGGAUUAAAUCCGUUGUAUAAUACUGCAUUAUAAGACAGCGAACACAAGAGAAUUCUACUCUUUUAGAUUAGUACAAAAAGUCCAAAACACCUGGUUGUAUUACCCGUGAAGAAGAAUAUGACAUUUGUAUCAAGGACAAGGCCUGUGGA